rnacentral:rRNA from 1 species
GGGGAAUUUUGGACAAUGGGCGCAAGCCUGAUCCAGCCAUUCCGCGUGCAGGAUGAAGGCCCUCGGGUUGUAAACUGCUUUUGUACGGAACGAAACGGUGCUCUCUAAUACAGGGCGCUAAUGACGGUACCGUAAGAAUAAGCACCGGCUAACUACGUGCCAGCAGCCGCGGUAAUACGUAGGGUGCAAGCGUUAAUCGGAAUUACUGGGCGUAAAGCGUGCGCAGGCGGUUUUGUAAGACAGGUGUGAAAUCCCCGGGCUUAACCUGGGAACUGCACUUGUGACUGCAAAGCUGGAGUGCGGCAGAGGGGGAUGGAAUUCCGCGUGUAGCAGUGAAAUGCGUAGAUAUGCGGAGGAACACCGAUGGCGAAGGCAAUCCCCUGGGCCUGCACUGACGCUCAUGCACGAAAGCGUGGGGAGCAAAC